rnacentral:rRNA from 1 species
AUUCCAGCUCCAAUAGCGUAUAUUAAUGUUGUUGCAGUUAAAGAGCUCGUAGUUGGAUUUCUAGCCGACGUUAGUGGUCCCCAACGCUCAGCGUAGGGCGUACCGCACGCGUCGUCUAUCCUAUCAGUUUGUCUGGUUUCGGCCGGGCUGACUGGUUCUUUUACUUCGAAAAAAUUAGAGUGUUUAAAGCAGGCUUGCGCAAUGAAUACAUUAGCAUGGAAUAAUAAUAUAGGACUUCGGUCUCUACUUUAUUGGUUCUGGAGUUGAAGUAAUGAUUGAUAGGGAUAGUUGGGGGUGCUAGUAUUGAGUGGCCAGAGGUGAAAUUCUUAGAUUCACUCAAGACUAACUUAUGCGAAAGCAUUCACCAAGGAUGUCUUCAUUA